rnacentral:rRNA from 1 species
GGUUGAUUCUGGCUCCAGAUUGAACCGCUGGCGGGAUGCUUUACACAUGCAAGUCGAACGGCAGCACGGACUUCAGUCUGGUGGCGAGUGGCGAACAGGUGAGUAAUGUAUCGGAACGUGCCUAGUAGCGGGGGAUAACUACGCGAAAGCGUAGCUAAUACCACAUACGCCCUUCGGGGGAAAGCGGGGCCUUCGGGCCUCGCACUAUUAGAGCGGCCGAUAUCGGAUUAGCUAGUUGGUGGGGUAACGGCUCACCAAGGCGACGAUCCGUAGCUGGUUUGAAGGACGACCAGCCACACUGGGACUGAGACACAGCCCAGGCAGAACUCCUACCAGGAGGCAGCAGUGGGGAAUUUUAGUUAAUGGGGAAACCCUGAUCCAGCCAUCCCGCGUGUGUGAUGAAGGCCUUCGGGUUGUAAAGCACUUUUAGCAGGAAAGAAACGGCACGGGAUAAUACCCCGUGCAACUGACGGCUUACCUGCAGAAUAAGCACCGGCUAACUACGGUGAUGCCAGCAGCCGCGGUAAUACGUAAGUGCAAGCGUUAAUCGGAAUUACUGGGCGUAAAGCGUGCGCAGGCGGUUCGGAAAGAAAGAUGUGAAAUCCCAGAGCUUAACUUUGGAACUGCAUUUUUAACUACCGAGCUAGAGUGUGUCAGAGGGAGGUGGAAUUCCGCGAUAACGGUGAAAUGCGUAGAUAUGCGGAGGAACACCGAUGGCGAAGGCAGCCUCCUGGGAUAACACUGACGCUCAUGCACGAAAGCGUGGGGAGCAAACAGGAUUAGAUACCCUGGUAGUCCACGCCCUAAACGAUGUCAACUAGCUGUUGGGGCCUUCCGGGCCUUGGUAGCGCAACUAACGCGUGAAGUUGACCGCCUGGGGAGAGUACGGUCGCAAGAUUAAAACUCAAAGGAAUUGACGAGUUCCGCACAAGCCCGGUGGAUGAUGUGGAUUAAUUCGAUGCAACGCGAAAAACCUUACCUACCCUUGACAUGUCUGGAAUCCCGAAGAGAUUUGGGAGUGCUCGCAAGAGAACCGGAACACAGGUGCUGCAUGGCUGUCGUCAGCUCGUGUCGUGAGAUGUUGGAUUAAGUCCCGCAACGAGCGCAACCCUUGACGUCGUGCUUAGUUGCUACGAAAGGGCACUCUAAUGAGACUGCCGGUGACAAACCGGAGGAAGGUGGGGAUGACAUCAGAGUCCUCAUGGCCCUUAUGGGUAGGGCUUCACACGUCAUACAAUGGUCGGGACAGAGGGUCGCCAACCCGCGAGGAGCCAAUCCCAGAAACCCGAUCGUAGUCCGGAUCGCAGUCUGCAACUCGACUGCGUGAAGUCGGAAUCGCUAAUCGCGGAUCAGCAUGUCGCGGUGAAUACGUUCCCGGGGUCUUGUACACACCGCCCGUCACACCAUGGGAGUGGGUUUUACCAGAAGUAGUUAGCCUAACCGUAAGGAGGGCGAUUACCACGGUAGGAUUCAUGACUGGGGGUGAAGUCGUAACAAAGGUAG